UGCCGUAUGGUCUAGUGGUUAGGAUGGCCGGCAACCAGGCGAGAAACCCAGGUUCGAUUCCUGGUACGGUAG
rnacentral:tRNA from 1 species